CGGACUUCUAGCCUUAUGUCAUCCCAAAGACUGAUUGCCGCACACACAUGCAGCUCAUCGCAUUAAUCACCACACACACCUUUAUAAGCAGCACAAACACUCACCUCAGUGCGAGAGAUAAGCGUCAGUCAGUCGGUGACGGGCUUCAGAACUGGAGCAGGGUGUGUAUUGUGCGAGUUGCCGUAGGACGUAGAUUGCGUGUCAAAGUAGAGGAAGGUGGGUUGUUUGAAAAGCAGGUAGUGUUGGAUUAUGGAACAAGACUCGGGAGGGUCAAUAAUGGAUGAAAACUCACAGUUUUGGGAUUUAUGUCAAAGAGAAUGUUUAUCAAAAUGGAAGAAUUCAGGAUCUGCCAAAGAAUUGGAGGAUAGUGAGGAUAUGAUGACGGCGACUCAAACAAUCAAAGAAGAAUUCAAAGGAUUGACACCUACAGAUGUGGAGUCUACCUUCAUUGAACAUUUGGACAAUUACACAGAACAGCUCGUCCAUUUAUUUCACAAAAAGGGGGGAAGUGCAGGAUGCAAAAUCUGUGAUGUGAUGAAAUUGCUGGAGCAGUGUGGACAUUCUCUAGGAGGUGGUGAUAUGCUGUCUGACUGUGUACCUUUCUAAGAACCUUGAAAAUCUGAUUACACAUUACCUGGACACCUGUGGGGAAACGGACCAGCUGGACAUUGGAGAGCACAUACCAAAAACUGUGACCAUACGCACACAUUCAGUACAUUACGGACAAUUUAGCCUACCCAAUUUACCUAUACCGCAUGUCUU